GGGGGGAUAUUGCACAAUGGGCGAAAGCCUGAUGCAGCGACGCCGCGUGGGGGAUGAAGGCUUUCGGGUUGUAAACCUCUUUCGCUAUCGAACAAUGCCCGCUUAGGGUGGGUUGAGGGUAGGUGGAGAAGAAGCGCCGGCUAACUACGUGCCAGCAGCCGCGGUAAUACGUAGGGCGCGAGCGUUGUCCGGAAUUAUUGGGCGUAAAGGGCUUGUAGGCGGCUUGUUGCGCCUGCUGUGAAAACGCGGGGCUUAACUUCGCGCGUGGAGUGGGUACGGGCAGGCUUGAAUGUGGGAGGGGUGACUGGAGUUCCAGGUGUAGCGGUGGAAUGCGCAGAUAUCUGGAGGAACACCGAUGGCGAAGACAGGUCACUGGGCCAUUACUGACGCUGAGGAGCGAAAGCAUGGGUAGCGAAAAGG
rnacentral:rRNA from 1 species